GCGUCCGGUGGUGGACGGGCGCGCUCAUGACAGCUUGUAGCCGGCACCCCGGACGGUGACCAGCCGGUCGGCGCCGAUCUUGCGGCGCAGGGUGCGC
rnacentral:tRNA from 1 species